GACCGGCGCACGGGUGAGUAACACGUAUGCAACCUACCUACUACAGGGAGAUAGCCCGUUGAAAAACGGAUUAAUACCCCAUAAUACAGGGCUCCCGCAUGGGAAUAUUUGUUAAAGAUUAAUCGGUAGUAGAUGGGCAUGCGCUUCAUUAGCUAGUUGGAGAGGUAACGGCUCACCAAGGCAACGAUGAAUAGGGGAACUGAGAGGUUUAUCCCCCACACUGGUACUGAGACACGGACCAG
rnacentral:rRNA from 1 species